rnacentral:rRNA from 1 species
UUCGGGGUACACGAGCGGCGAACGGGAUGAGUAACACGUGGGUGAUCUGCCCUGCACUCUGGGAUAAGCUUGGGAAACUGGGUCUAAUACCGGAUAUGACCGCAUGCCGCAUGGUGUGUGGUGGAAAGAUUUAUCGGUGCAGGAUGGGCCCGCGGCCUAUCAGCUUGUUGGUGGGGUAAUGGCCUACCAAGGCGACGACGGGUAGCCGACCUGAGAGGGUGACCGGCCACACUGGGACUGAGACACGGCCCAGACUCCUACGGGAGGCAGCAGUGGGGAAUAUUGCACAAUGGGCGGAAGCCUGAUGCAGCGACGCCGCGUGAGGGAUGAAGGCCUUCGGGUUGUAAACCUCUUUCAGCAGGGACGAAGCGUGAGUGACGGUACCUGCAGAAGAAGCACCGGCUAACUACGUGCCAGCAGCCGCGGUAAUACGUAGGGUGCGAGCGUUGUCCGGAAUUACUGGGCGUAAAGAGUUCGUAGGCGGUUUGUCGCGUCGUUUGUGAAAACCCGGGGCUCAACUUCGGGCUUGCAGGCGAUACGGGCAGACUUGAGUGUUUCAGGGGAGACUGGAAUUCCUGGUGUAGCGGUGAAAUGCGCAGAUAUCAGGAGGAACACCGGUGGCGAAGGCGGGUCUCUGGGAAACAACUGACGCUGAGGAACGAAAGCGUGGGUAGCAAACAGGAUUAGAUACCCUGGUAGUCCACGCCGUAAACGGUGGGCGCUAGGUGUG